UACGGGGGGGGGUAAGCGUUGUUCGGAAUUACUGGGCGUAAAGGGCUCGUAGGCGGCCAACUAAGUCAUACGUGAAAUCCCUCAGCUUAACUGGGGAACUGCGUGUGAUACUGGAUGGCUUGGAUUUGGGAGAGGGAUGCGGAAUUCCUGGUGUAGCGGUGAAAUGCGUAGAUAUCAGGAGGAAUACCGGUGGCGAAGGCGGCAUCCUGGACCGGCAUUGACGCUGAGGAGCGAAAGCCAGGGGAGCAAACGGG
rnacentral:rRNA from 1 species